AGCUCCAAAAGCGUAUAUUAAAGUUGUUGCGGUUAAAAAGCUCGUAGUUGGAUUUCUGUUGAGGACGACCGUUCCGCCCCCCGGGUGAGUAUCUGGCUCGGCCUUGGCAUCUUCUUGGAGAACGUUUCUGCACUUGAUUGUGUGGUGCGGUAUCCAGGACUUUUACUUUGAGGAAAUUAGAGUGUUUCAAGCAGGCGUACGCCUUGAAUACAUUAGCAUGGAAUAAUAAGAUAGGACCUUGGUUCUAUUUUGUUGGUUUCUAGAGCUUAGGUAAUGAUUAAUAGGGAUAGUUGGGGGCAUUCGUAUUUAACUGUCAAAGGUGAAAUUCUUGGAUUUGUUAAAGACGGACUACUGCGAAAGCAUUUGCCAUGGAUGUUUUCA
rnacentral:rRNA from 1 species